GGAAAAAAAAAAAAGAAGUACCCCCCAUCAUGGUGAACCUCUCCUUGUGAUCGGGAUGAGGUAAAUGCCUCCCAGCCGGGGGGCGGAUCGAAUCGGAGUUUCCUUAGGUAGCCACCGACCUACAGUUAUCCUUAAACUUCCGUGCUUGGUGGAGAAGAAGCGAACAAAGGUACGCUCGCUUGCUGUCUUGUUCUCUGCCGCGAACUGGGAUCGCUCGCCAGCUAGGUCAGAUUGGAGCAACAUUUUUUGAGAACAUAUUACCCAUCUUCGGGGACAAGGGGCGGAACGACCUCUCGAUCUACUUACUGCAGCCCAGGAAUAAAAACGUCCGUCUAGGCGUUCCCUCUUGCUCCGAUCCCCCCUACGCCUAGGACGUUGUCUGGGCCAAGAGCCAUAGUUAGUUGCUGUUUUCAUUUGGUUGUUUUUUUCUCGUUGUUGAUACCGGCAAGACCCAGCCAGAUGAUGUCUACUGGUUGGUAGUGAGAGGACUCUUAGUAUCUGCAUACCCAAAAGGGGACGCUGAUUAAAAAACAAUCAUUUUAUUUUUUUUCUUGCUCUCCCUUAGCAGCGGGAAAGGAGUCUAUCUAUCUGCCUAGCUUUGGUAGAUUUCCCCCAACACAAUCCACAGAAAUUCCACGAAUCCCUUGGUGGAUAAGUCCGACGACUCAGCAGCAGUGCGGAAUUGAGUUUCUCGUCCGGUGGAUCUGAUCUAUAGUUAGGGGGCAAUACAUACCAAAAGGUUCGA
rnacentral:misc_RNA from 1 species